CCUACGGGAGGCAGCAGUGGGGAAUCUUGCGCAAUGGGCGAAAGCCUGACGCAGCGACGCCGCGUGGGGGAAGAAGGCCUUCGGGUUGUAAACCUCUUUCAGCAGGGACGAAGCCACUCGGGUUAAUAGCCCAGAGGGUGACGGUACCUGCAGAAGAAGCCCCGGCUAACUACGUGCCAGCAGCCGCGGUAAUACGUAGGGGGCAAGCGUUGUCCGGAUUUAUUGGGCGUAAAGAGCGUGUAGGCGGCCAGACAAGUCCGUUGUGAAAACUAGAGGCUUAACCUCUAGACGUCGAUGGAAACUGUUUGGCUAGAGUCCGGAAGAGGAGAAUGGAAUUCCUGGUGUAGCGGUGAAAUGCGCAGAUAUCAGGAAGAACACCCGUGGCUAAGGCGGUUCUCUAGUACGGCACUGACGCUGAGACGCGAAAGCGUGGGGAGCGAACAGGAUUAGAUACCCUGGUAGUCCACGCCGUAAACGAUGGGUGCUAGGUGUGGGGGGUGUCGACUCCCUCCGUGCCGAAGCUAACGCAUUAAGCACCCCGCCUGGGGAGUACGGCCGCAAGGCUAAAACUCAAAUGAAUUGACGGCUGAGACGUGCGAGCGACGACGAGGGAGAG
rnacentral:rRNA from 1 species